rnacentral:rRNA from 1 species
CACGUAGGGGGCGAGCGUUGUCCGGAUUCAUUGGGCGUAAAGGGCGCGCAGGCGGUUUGUCGCGUCGAAUGUGAAAACCCGGGGCUCAACCCCGGGCCUGCAUUCGAUACGGGCAGACUAGAGUUCGGUAGGGGAGUCUGGAAUUCCUGGUGUAGCGGUGAAAUGCGCAGAUAUCAGGAGGAACACCGGUGGCGAAGGCGGGACUCUGGGCCGAUACUGACGCUGAGGAGCGAAAGCGUGGGGAGCGAACAGG